rnacentral:rRNA from 1 species
CGCCUUCUUGCUUCUCCAGUAUAAGAGGUCCCGCCUGCCCAGUGACUAUAUGUUAAACGGCCGCGGUAUUCUGACCGUGCGAAGGUAGCGUAAUCAUUUGUCUUUUAAAUGAGGACUUGUAUGAAUGGCAUCACGAAGACCUUACUGUCUCCUAUAUCCAAUCAGUGAAACUGAUCUCCCCGUGAAGAAGCAGGGAUUUCACCAUAAGACGAGAAGACCCCAUGGAGCUUUAAACUUAAACCACCUGCUUAACCCCUUACUCCUAUAGGAUAAUCAAUUAAUCAAGCAGCACUGGCUUAUGUUUUCGGUUGGGGCGACCACGGAGAAUAAUAGAUCCUCCAUGAUGAAAGAACACCUCUUAACCAAGAGCCACAGCUCUAAGUAUUAGAAUUUCUAACCUUAAUUGAUCCAAUCUUAUUGAUCAACGAACCAAGUUACCCUGGGGAUAACAGCGCAAUCCAUUUCAAGAGUCCAUAUCGACAAAUGGGUUUACGACCUCGAUGUUGGAUCAGGGCAUCCUAGUGGUGCAGCCGCUACUAAAGGUUCGUUUGUUCCACGAUUAAAGCCCU